rnacentral:rRNA from 1 species
UGCCAGCAGCCGCGGUAAUACGGAGGGUGCGAGCGUUAAUCGGAAUCACUGGGCGUAAAGCGUACGUAGGCGGCGUAUUAAGUCAGGCGUGAAAGCCCUCGGCUCAACCGAGGAAUUGCGUUUGAAACUGGUAUGCUAGAGUCUCGGAGAGGUUGGCGGAAUUCCAGGUGUAGGAGUGAAAUCCGUAGAUAUCUGGAGGAACACCGGUGGCGGAGGCGACUACCUGGACCAAUACUGACGCUGAGGCUCGAAGGCGUGGGGAGCAAACAGGAUUAGAUA